UACGAAGGGGGCUAGCGUUGCUCGGACUUACUGGGCGUAGAGCGCACGUAGGCGGCUUCUUAAGUCGGUGGUGAAAUCCUGGAGCUCACCUCCAGAACUGCCUUCGAUACUGGGAAGCUCGAGUCCGGGAGAGGUGAGUGGAACUGCGAGUGUAGAGGUGAAAUGCGUAGAUAUUGGGAAGAACACCGGUGGCGAAGGCGGCUCACUGGCCAGUUUCUGACGCUGCAGCGCGAAAGCGUGGGGAGCAAACAGG
rnacentral:rRNA from 1 species